rnacentral:pre_miRNA from 1 species
UGGACAGAUUAUUGUAUUAUUCACGGCGUGAAAUAGGGGAUUACACUGUUUUUAAAAUGGAAAGUGAAUCAAUUAACAUAAUAGACUCCU